AGAAAAUUAGUUAAACACAUAACAUUAACUUGUCAUGUUAAAAUUAUUCCAUAAAUAUUUUCUU
rnacentral:tRNA from 1 species